rnacentral:tRNA from 1 species
GGGCCCGUAACUCAGCCUGGUUAGAGUGCCAGUCUUAUAAACUGGAAGUCUGGAGUCCAAAUCUCCACGGGCCCACCA